CCUACGGGAGGCAGCAGUGGGGAAUAUUGGGCAAUGGGCGCAAGCCUGACCCAGCAACGCCGCGUGAAGGAAGAAGGCUUUCGGGUUGUAAACUUCUUUUCUCAGGGACGAAGAAAGUGACGGUACCUGAGGAAUAAGCCACGGCUAACUACGUGCCAGCAGCCGCGGUAAUACGGAGGUGGCAAGCGUUAUCCGGAUUUACGGGGUGUAAAGGGCGUGUAGGCGGGAAAGCAAGUCAGAGGGGAAAACCACGGGCUCAACCUGUGGCCUGCAUUUGAAACUGGGUGUCUUGAGUACUGGAGAGGCAGACGGAAUUCCUAGUGUAGCGGUGAAAUGCGUAGAUAUUAGGAGGAACACCAGUGGCGAAGGCGGUCUGCUGGACAGCAACUGACGCUGAGGCGCGAAAGCGUGGGGAGCAAACAGGAUUAGAUACCCCUGUAGUC
rnacentral:rRNA from 1 species